CCUACGGGUGGCAGCAGUGAGGAAUAUUGGACAAUGGCCGGAAGGCUGAACCAGCGAAGCCGCGUGAGGGACGAAGGUGCCAAGCAUUGUAAACUUCUUUUGUCACGGAGCAAAAUCAGGCUCGAGAGCCUGACCGAGGGUACUUGCAACAACAGCAUCGGCUAACUCCGUGCCCGCAUCCACGGUAAGACGGAGGAUGCGAGGGUUAUCCGGAUUUAUUGGGUUUAAAGGGUGCUUAGGCGGGAUGUUAAGUAAGCGGUAAAAGCCCGGGGCUAAACCCCGGCGAGCCGUUGAAACUGGCUGUCUUGAGAUGUCGAGAGGUAUGCGGAAUGUGAAGUGUAGCGGUGAAAUGCUUAGAUAUUGCGCAGAACUCCGAUGGCGAAGGCAGAAUACCGGCGGCGAUCUGACGCUGAGGCACGAAAGCGUGGGUAUCGAACAGGAUUAGAUAAGUC
rnacentral:rRNA from 1 species